UGUAUUAUGUUUUUCUAUAUGAUAUAACAUGUUAAAAAUUUAUGUAAAUUUAUAUUUUUAGGGCUCGUUUGGAUCCCUGUAUAAGGGCUCCGUAUUGUAUUAAAUUAUAAGAAUACUAUGUUUGGGUGGGACCUUGUAUUGUAAUAGAUAUUACAACCCUAAUUUUUAAUACAAUCUAUCCUGUAUUAUUCUAUGCUGAAUAAAAACAAUGUAUAAGGCUGUAUUGUACUCUCCCUCUCACCCAAAUUCUUCAUUUUCCCGUUCAGCCAUCUUCGCUGAUUCUCUGGCCGAUUUGGCCUGCAUUUCUCGGUGAAGAGCAACUUCGUGUUCUUCGGCAGAUCGAUCUCUCAGAUUUAUUUCUCAGUGAAAAGCAACUUCAUCUUCUCUAGCAUAUUAAUGUCUCAUAUUCAUUUGACCAGGAGUGCCGUCCACUGCUAGCAGACGCUGCUCGAUUCUUCUCCGUACAACCCAGAAAGAGCUGAGGUUCUGCUAUUUUGCUCUAGGUGAGUUAUUAGUUUUUGGUAUUUGUAGUUUAUUCUACUUUUGAUAUUUCAUUGUAUUGAUUGUAAUGUUGUUGGGACUUGUUUCAAUUUUCUUCUGGUUUUCUCUUUGACCCAAAGCCAUAUUAUUAAUUAGCCAAGCUAAGCCUUGGUGUGUUUUUUAGGAAACUCCUCUGUUCUUUCUUUUCUUGUGUGUGUUUUUGUUUGUUAAAUAAAUUUGGAAUAUUGAGUCAGUCAACAGUUUGACAUAAUGAGUUGAAAUUGAAAACUUGAAACCUCGACCUCAAACUCAACUGCUCUUUCUUUUUUUUUCCUUAUCUUAAAGGGUUGAAUUGGGUGAGUUGGUGUUGUUCAACUUGAAGAAGAAGAAGUAGUAACACAUAAUAUACAUGUUGUUGUUGCUAACAUUGGGAGUCAGGAAGAAGUAGCUUUCCUGCAAUCUAAUAUAAAUGGUUUAGUUUUAUAAGCUCUACAUGCAUGUACUUAUUAUUACAGUGACCACUCUCAGUUGGGAAGAAGACUAGGUAGUGAAUAAGGUCAACUAAGAAGUAAGCUAUGCUAUAGUCAAGCACAAUGUUUUGUGAAUUGGUGUUUGGAGAGGCAAAAGAAGAAAGUGGCAUAUGGGAUUUGGCUAGUGCAUUUAGAGCUAAUAAAACAGCUGGUGUUCCAUGAGGCAGAGAGAUUACACAGCUUGUUGCUUCUGCAAUAUUUUUUGGACCCCAGUUGCGGCAAAGGACAAAGUAAGCAAUUAGAUAUAUGAGUAGAAAAAUGGUGAAGAAUGUGGCUAAUGUGGGGGUGAAUAUAUUUAGUGUCUGCAUUUAGAAACUCAACUCAAUAACUGAGAGGUAAGAGGUAAGAGCUAGUCCACACAUUGAGAACAAAUAUCAAAUGUUGAAGAAACAAUAUAGUAUAGUCUUCGACAUGCUCAACACUAGUGGCUUUUCUUGGAACGAUGUAAAAAAAUGUGUGCAGGUUGAUAGUGAUGAGGCUUGGUUGACUUAUACUCAGAAUAUUAAGGAUGCUAAGGGAUGGAGAAACAAACAUUUUCCUAUGUAUGAGAGACUAGCUAAUAUUUUUGGAAAAGAUAGAGCAACCGGAAAAGGAGCAGAAGCACCAGCAGACAUGGUUGAGAAUAUGAACUUAGAAGCUGAAGAAGAGACUGACGAUUCUAGGUCAGUGAAUCAGAAUCUUUAAUCACCUAGAGGUCGAAGAAAGAGAUCUAAAUCAGAUGAUGAUGGUGUUAGGUUUUAUGCCCUAAAUAAAACUCCAUUUCAAUGUAAUCUAUUUUAUUCAACAUCAAUAAAGAAACAUAAGUAUUUUUCAUUCA